CUGUGAUUUUAUCCACUGAAUAAGAGUUUAUAUUCACAUAACAUUCCCUGUUUUAUAUUUAAGGUUUUUGUUUAAACAAAAUUUUAUUCCUCCCAUUGCCAUAGGUGCUUUUCUGAUGUAAGAGAAAACAUAUUAGAAAAUGUAAAUUUUUAAAUAUCUUAAAUACUUUUAUUAAUUUUAGGAGUUAAGAAGUCUCCAUUCCUUUGCUUGGAAUCAGAAGACUUUUUCCCCUGCCUAUAGAGUAGGAGUAAUGUUGGUUAGAAACUGGCUGGUGUUUAAAACUGAAGAUUGUCAUGACUGUUUAACCUAAGCUCCAUGCUGAAGUAAGAUUAAUUGUCUUGGAAAUACUAAAUUGGACACUGAACAUCGUGAUAUAUGAAGAGAUGCUUAUGAAAAUGUCUCUGCCUUUGAGAGUUUCGAGGAUGACUUAAUUUUUUCUGCUAAUCCAUUUUCUAAUUUUUUAUAACAUGACUGUACUUUUUUAAAAAGAAAAACAAAUUUAAAGAAAUCAAGACCUCCUGAGAGAUAGAGCACACCCUGCAACCAUCUACCAGUGAAUGGGCCAGAGCUGAGCUGCUCAGACAGGACUGACCGCAUAAUUUGAGAGACCCAGAACACAGUGAAAAUGAGGCACCUCUUGUUCAAAGAUUAUUAAGAAUUUCAAGACAGCAAAGCAUUAAACCAAGAGUGGGGCCUUCUGGUUGCACAGGUCACACAUGAAGCCAGAUCUGUGCCCAGACCUUCUCCAGCAACUUCCAGAUAAAAGCUUUACCAAGAACUGCUUACAGUCCAAAGGCCCCAGUGCUUCUUCACUGCUUGGGUACCUCUUAGGAGCAAGUAA
rnacentral:lncRNA from 1 species